UUCUUUCUUUCUUUCUUUCUUUCUUUCCUUUCUUUCUUUCUUUCUUUCUUUCUUUUUAGUAGAUACGGGGUUUCACCGUGUUGGCCAGGAUGGUCUCGAUCUCCUGACCUCGUGAUCCGCCUGCCUCGGCCUCCCAAAGUGCUGGGAUUACAGGCGUGAGCCACCGCGCCCGGCGGUAAAUUCUUUUUAAAAAGCGUUUAUUCCGAUGGAUUUCCUGGCAUCCCGUGGGGCGGACAACGGGCUGAGGCCUCCAGUAAACCUUCUGCGCGAUGGAGCUGCGGGGGCUCAGCUGCGCUGUUUUUGGCAGAGUGGGGAGAACGCCAGGAAAAAUGGAGAGACACCAAGAAAGAAGGAAAAUCAUGGGGACCCUUAGGCCGAAGCAGCCCUAUAUUAAGUUUAAAGAAGAAAGCAGGCGGCUUCCUGUGAUGGUAUAUUGGUUAGUACUCUGCAUCGCCGCCAAGGGUGGAAUCCCAGUCAUGGCAGUGUCCCUCCUGGGGCGUGGCACUCCUCCUUUCCUUUAGACUCCAACCUCUGCCUAGGCUGCGCUCUUUACCUGCGACUAGAGAGGUUACAACUUACCAGUGCCUUCGGAGCUCUGUGCAGUGGUGAGAAUAGAAGGAACCCCUACCUUGCAUGCUGGGGUCCAGUCAUCUUGAAAGGCUGGGCUUUUGCCCCCUCUCUGAGCAAGUGCAGCACCCAAAAGGUGAGGUGCUCCCUCUCAGUCAGCCUUAUUGGAAUCCUCCACUAUUACCACGAUGUGGCCAUAACCGUUUUUCUGGUUCAGAUAUUUCAAUCAUCCGUGGGGCCUUUUAAGGCCGAAUCAGAAACAAGCGAGAGGACAUGAGGAUAGUUUGCACUCCAACUGGGAAUUUUAAGUAAAGCCUAAAGAAUACAAUAAAAUCUAAACUUAAUGUCAUUCCCCAA
rnacentral:lncRNA from 1 species